rfam:Struthio camelus australis contig44115, whole genome shotgun sequence.
CAAAAGGCUCUUUUUAGAGCCACCCACAAUGUUCACAAAAGGUUG